UUUUCUUUAAUAUGAUUAUGUAGAUGUGACACUUAUGGUGUUUAGUCUUUCUAACUUAUUCCUUAGUAUGGUAGAGGGAUUAAUAUGAUAGGUGAGGGAGUGUUUAUUAUGUUCAAAAAUUUAAAUAUUCUUUAAAACAUAUAAGGAUGAAAAUAAGCCACAAAUUUAUUAGUGAAUUUUGUAACUUAUGUUAUCUCUAACUUUUUGCCAUUUUAUACACUUAUUAUACUCAUCAACAUAAAUGAAAUACUCAUGUUUUUAGGAGGAAUUAAGCUAAAUUUUUGAGGAGGAAGGCCUUGCAUACGGUACAUUUACAUCAUUUAAAAUAAUAUUUGUUGGUUUUUCUAAUUUUCAAUAUUUUUAGACACAUCUUAAUUGGUUGUUUUGUCUCUUUUUAGAUGUACGACCCUAAUAAUUCAAAGUUUGGGUUUGGGUGGUAUCUGAAAAUCAUUAACCACUUGCAUCCAAUUGUCUUAUUACUGCAUGUUCCUCAUCCGUUAUUGUAAGUUUUGGUUUCAUGUUUAGUGUAAUUUAUAGCUUUUGACUC
rnacentral:lncRNA from 1 species